GCGCCCGUAGCUCAAUUGGAUAGAGCAACGGUCUUCGGAACCGUAGGUUAUAGGUUCGACUCCCAUCGGGCGCA
rnacentral:tRNA from 4 species